rnacentral:hammerhead_ribozyme from 1 species
GCGCUGCUGACCAGUUCCAAACAGGACGAAACAGCUGUCCAGUGC